AACGAACGCUGGCGGCAUGCCUAACACAUGCAAGUCGAACGAGACCUUCGGGUCUAGUGGCGCACGGGUGCGUAACGCGUGGGAACCUGCCCUUAGGUUCGGAAUAACUCCCCGAAAGGGGUGCUAAUACCGGAUAAUGUCUUCGGACCAAAGAUCUAUCGCCUUUGGAUGGGCCCGCGUUGGAUUAGCUAGUUGGUAGGGUAAAGCCUACCAAGGCGACGAUCCAUAGCUGGUUGGCGAGGAUGAUCAGCCACACUGGGACUGAGACACGGCCCAGACUCCUACGGGAGGCAGCAGUGGGGAAUAUUGGACAAUGGGCGAAAGCCUGAUCCAGCAAUGCCGCGUGAGUGAUGAAGGCCUUAGGGUUGUGAAGCUCUUUUACCCGGGAUGAUAGUGACAGUACCGGGAGAAUAAGCUCCGGCUAACUCCGUG
rnacentral:rRNA from 1 species